GAUGAACGCUGGCGGCGUGCUUAACACAUGCAAGUCGAACGAGCUUUAUUGUUACGAUCCCUUCGGGGUGACGACUUUAAAGCGAGUGGCGGACGGGUGAGUAACGCGUGGAUAACCUGCCAUACACUGGGGGAUAACAGCUGGAAACAGCUGCUAAUACCGCAUAAAACUGUAUAGUCGCAUGACUUUAUAGCCAAAGCUCCGGCUGUGUAUGAUGGAUCCGCGUCUGAUUAGAUAGUUGGUGAGGUAACGGCCCACCAAGUCAACGAUCAGUAGCCGGCCUGAGAGGGUGAACGGCCACAUUGGGACUGAGACACGGCCCAAACUCCUACGGGAGGCAGCAGUGGGGAAUAUUGGACAAUGGGGGAAACCCUGAUCCAGCGACGCCGCGUGAGUGAAGAAGUAUUUCGGUAUGUAAAGCUCUAUCAGCAGGAAAGAAAAUGACGGUACCUGACUAAGAAGCCCGGCUAACUACGUGCCAGCAGCCGCG
rnacentral:rRNA from 1 species